GGGGGAACUGAAACAUCUAAGUACCCCGAGGAGAAGAAAUCAACCGAGAUUCCGGUAGUAGCGGCGAGCGAACCUGGAUUAGCCCUUAAGCACUCGGUGAAGUAGGUGAACAAGCUGGAAAGCUUGGCGAUACAGGGUGAUAGCCCCGUAACCGACGCUUCAUCGAGCGUGAAAUCGAGUAGGGCGGGACACGUGAUAUCCUGUCUGAAUAUGGGGGGACCAUCCUCCAAGGCUAAAUACUCCUGACUGACCGAUAGUGAACCAGUACCGUGAGGGAAAGGCGAAAAGAACCCCUGUGAGGGGAGUGAAAUAGAACCUGAAACCGUGUACGUACAAGCAGUAGGAGCACCUUCGUGGUGUGACUGCGUACCUUUUGUAUAAUGGGUCAGCGACUUAUAUUCAGUGGCAAGGUUAACCGUAUAGGGGAGCCGUAGCGAAAGCGAGUCUUAACUGGGCGCUCAGUCUCUGGAUAUAGACCCGAAACCGGGUGAUCUAGCCAUGGGCAGGUUGAAGGUUGAGUAACAUCAACUGGAGGACCGAACCGACUAAUGUUGAAAAAUUAGCGGAUGACUUGUGGCUAGGGGUGAAAGGCCAAUCAAACUCGGAGAUAGCUGGUUCUCCCCGAAAGCUAUUUAGGUAGCGCCUCGGACGAAUACUACUGGGGGUAGAGCACUGUUAAGGCUAGGGGGUCAUCCCGACUUACCAACCCUUUGCAAACUCCGAAUACCAGUAAGUACUAUCCGGGAGACACACGGCGGGUGCUAACGUCCGUCGUGGAGAGGGAAACAACCCAGACCGCCAGCUAAGGUCCCAAAGUAUUGCUAAGUGGGAAACGAUGUGGGAAGGCUCAGACAGCUAGGAUGUUGGCUUAGAAGCAGCCAUCAUUUAAAGAAAGCGUAAUAGCUCACUAGUCGAGUCGGCCUGCGCGGAAGAUGUAACGGGGCUAAGCAAUACACCGAAGCUGCGGCAAUGAAGUUUACUUCAUUGGGUAGGGGAGCGUUCUGUAAGCCGUUGAAGGUGAAUCGUAAGGUUUGCUGGAGGUAUCAGAAGUGCGAAUGCUGACAUGAGUAACGACAAAGGGGGUGAAAAACCUCCUCGCCGGAAGACCAAGGGUUCCUGUCCAACGUUAAUCGGGGCAGGGUGAGUCGACCCCUAAGGUGAGGCCGAAAGGCGUAAUCGAUGGGAAACGGGUUAAUAUUCCCGUACUUCUGACUAUUGCGAUGGGGGGACGGAGAAGGCUAGGUGGGCCAGGCGACGGUUGUCCUGGUUCAAGUGCGUAGGCUUGAGAGUUAGGUAAAUCCGGCUCUCUUUAAGGCUGAGACACGACGUCGAGCUGCUACGGCAGUGAAGUCAUUGAUGCCAUGCUUCCAGGAAAAGCCUCUAAGCUUCAGAUAGUCAGGAAUCGUACCCCAAACCGACACAGGUGGUCGGGUAGAGAAUACCAAGGCGCUUGAGAGAACUCGGGUGAAGGAACUAGGCAAAAUGGUACCGUAACUUCGGGAGAAGGUACGCUCUUGAUGGUGAAGUCCCUCGCGGAUGGAGCUGACGAGAGUCGCAGAUACCAGGUGGCUGCAACUGUUUAUUAAAAACACAGCACUGUGCAAAAUCGCAAGAUGACGUAUACGGUGUGACGCCUGCCCGGUGCCGGAAGGUUAAUUGAUGGGGUUAGCGCAAGCGAAGCUCUUGAUCGAAGCCCCGGUAAACGGCGGCCGUAACUAUAACGGUCCUAAGGUAGCGAAAUUCCUUGUCGGGUAAGUUCCGACCUGCACGAAUGGCGUAAUGAUGGCCACGCUGUCUCCACCCGAGACUCAGUGAAAUUGAAAUCGCUGUGAAGAUGCAGUGUACCCGCGGCUAGACGGAAAGACCCCGUGAACCUUUACUACAGCUUGGCACUGAACAUUGAACCUACAUGUGUAGGAUAGGUGGGAGGCUAUGAAGACGUGACGCCAGUUGCGUUGGAGCCGUCCUUGAAAUACCACCCUUGUAUGU
rnacentral:rRNA from 1 species